rnacentral:piRNA from 1 species
UGAAACUCUUGUAGAUUAGAUGUGUA